AUACGGAGGGUGCAAGCGUUAAUCGGAAUUACUGGGCGUAAAGCGCGCGUAGGCGGUUUGAUAAGUCGGAUGUGAAAUCCCCGGGCUCAACCUGGGAAUUGCAUUCGAUACUGUCAGGCUAGAGUGUGGUAAAGGGAAGUGGAAUUUCCGGUGUAGCGGUGAAAUGCGUAGAUAUCGGAAGGAACACCAGUGGCGAAGGCGGCUUCCUGGACCAACACUGACGCUGAGGUGCGAAAGCGUGGGGAGCAAACAGGAUUAGAAACCCUAGUAGUCC
rnacentral:rRNA from 1 species